GCCGUGGUGGCGCAACCUGGUACCGCGCAAGCCUGGAAAGCUUGUUCCCGCAAGGGUUUCCCGGUUCAAAUCCGGGCCACGGCG
rnacentral:tRNA from 1 species